rnacentral:lncRNA from 1 species
CCCAGAGACAAUGGGUUGCUUGUCGAUGAUGGCUAUACUAGUGAUGAUAGUGAUGGUGAUCAUAGUGCAGACUCCGGAUCAGACAACGAUACUGAUGUAUCUUCAGCCUGCGAGAUAAUUUCCCUGGAAGAUGAAUCACUAAAUUAGUAUUUUGUUUAUUUUUAUUUGGUUAGGUUAGUCAUUAGUCAUUGAUAUGUGCAAGCACAUCGAUUUAGAGAAUGUA